rnacentral:misc_RNA from 1 species
GUAAAAAUGUACAAAA